rnacentral:rRNA from 1 species
GAUGAACGCUGGCGGCGUGCCUAAUACAUGCAAGUCGAGCGAACAGACGAGGAGCUUGCUCCUCUGACGUUAGCGGCGGACGGGUGAGUAACACGUGGAUAACCUACCUAUAAGACUGGGAUAACUUCGGGAAACCGGAGCUAAUACCUGAUAAUAUAUUGAACCGCAUGGUUCAAUAGUGAAAGACGGUUUUGCUGUCACUUAUAGAUGGAUCCGCGCCGCAUUAGCUAGUUGGUAAGGUAACGGCUUACCAAGGCGACGAUGCGUAGCCGACCUGAGAGGGUGAUCGGCCACACUGGAACUGAGACACGGUCCAGACUCCUACGGGAGGCAGCAGUAGGGAAUCUUCCGCAAUGGGCGAAAGCCUGACGGAGCAACGCCGCGUGAGUGAUGAAGGUCUUCGGAUCGUAAAACUCUGUUAUUAGGGAAGAACAAAUGUGCAAGUAACUAUGCACGUCUUGACGGUACCUAAUCAGAAAGCCACGGCUAACUACGUG